rnacentral:rRNA from 1 species
AUUGAACGCUAGCGGGAUGCUUUACACAUGCAAGUCGAACGAGUGGCGGACGGGUGAGUAAUAUCUGGGAACCUGCCCGAUGGAGGGGGAUAACUACUCGAAACGGUAGCUAAUACCGCAUACCAUCGGAUGUGCCCAUAUGGGAUUAGCUAGUUGGUGGGGUAAAGGCUCACCAAGGCGACGAUCCCUAGCUGGUCUGAGAGGAUGACCAGCCACACUGGAACUGAGACACGGUCCAGACUCCUACGGGAGGCAGCAGUGGGGAAUAUUGCACAAUGGGCGCAAGCCUGAUACAGCCAUGCCGCGUGUAUGAAGAAGGCCUUCGGGUUGUAAAGUACUUUCAGCGGGGAGGCGUUACCUGCAGAAGAAGCACCGGCUAACUCCGUGCCAGCAGCCGCGGUAAUUC